rnacentral:rRNA from 1 species
AUUGAACGCUGGCGGCAUGCUUUACACAUGCAAGUCGGACGAGUGGCGGACGGGUGAGUAACAUAUCGGAACGUACCGAGUAAUUGGGGGUAAAUAAUCGAAAGAUUAGCUAAUACCGAAUAUUAUUCGAUCUGCCGAUAUCUGAUUAGCUGGUUGGUUGGGUAAAGUCCUACCAAGGCGACGAUCAGUAGCGGGUCUGCGAGGAUGAUCCGCCACACUGGGAUUGAGACACUGCCCGGACUCCUACGUGAGGCAGCAUUGGGGAAUUUUGGACAAUGUGCGCAAGGCUGAUCCAGCCAUGCCGCGUUUCUGAAGAAGGCCUUCGGGUUGGAAAGGACUUUUGUCAGGGAAGCGGUACCUGAAGAAUAAGCACCGGCUAACUACGUGCCAGCAGCCGCGGUAAUAC